UACAGAGGGUGCGAGCGUUGUCCGGAAUCACUGGGCGUAAAGGGCGCGUAGGCGGCUUGAUAAGCGUGCGGUGAAAGCCCGGGGCUCAACCCCGGGUCGGCCGUGCGAACUGUCGAGCUGGAGCACUGUAGAGGCAGGUGGAAUUCCGGGUGUAGCGGUGGAAUGCGUAGAGAUCCGGAAGAACACCGGUGGCGAAGGCGGCCUGCUGGGCAGUGGCCUGACGCUGAGGCGCGACAGCGUGGGGAGGCAAACAGG
rnacentral:rRNA from 1 species